rnacentral:sRNA from 1 species
AUAUAGGACUAAGAUAUUUUGUGUGUGUUUUUAGACCAACCCGGAAGAAUAUAU